rnacentral:rRNA from 1 species
CCUACGGGAGGCAGCAGUGAGGAAUAUUGGACAAUGGGGGAAACCCUGAUCCAGCCAUGCCGCGUGAGUGACGAAGGCCUUCGGGUUGUAAAGCUCUUUUAGAUGUGAAGCGGUAGCAUCAGAAAAAGCCCCGGCUAAAUUCGUGCCAGCAGCCGCGGUAAUACGAAUGGGGCAAGCGUUGUUCGGAAUCACUGGGCUUAAAGCGUAUGCAGGUGGAUUUGCAAGUCAGAAGUGAAAUCCCUGGGCUUAACCCAGGAAUUGCUUUUGAAACUGCAAGUCUAGAAUCCCGGAGAGGUUAGUAGAAUUCCGAGUGUAGAGGUGAAAUUCGCAGAUAUUCGGAGGAAUACCAGUGGCGUAAGCGACUAACUGGACGGGAUUGACACUCAGAUACGAAAGCGUGGGUAGCAAACAGGAUUAGAUACCCUUGUAGUC